rnacentral:rRNA from 1 species
CCUACGGGCGGCAGCAGUGAGGAAUAUUGGUCAAUGGACGAGAGUCUGAACCAGCCAAGUAGCGUGAAGGAUGACUGCCCUAUGGGUUGUAAACUUCUUUUAUAAAGGAAUAAAACGAGGCACGUGUGCCUUUUUGCAUGUACUUUAUGAAUAAGGAUCGGCUAACUCCGUGCCAGCAGCCGCGGUAAUACGGAGGAUCCGAGCGUUAUCCGGAUUUAUUGGGUUUAAAGGGAGCGUAGAUGGGUUGUUAAGUCAGUUGUGAAAGUUUGCGGCUCAACCGUAAAAUUGCAAUUGAUACUGGCAGUCUAGAGUACAGUUGAGGUAGGCGGAAUUCGUGGUGUAGCGGUGAAAUGCUUAGAUAUCACGAAGAACCCCGAUUGCGAAGGCAGCUUACUAAACUGUGACUGACAUUGAUGCUCGAAAGUGUGGGUAUCAAACAGGAUUAGAUACCCCAGUAGUC